rnacentral:rRNA from 1 species
CGGGGUCGUGGCGCUGGGUACGUAUGCAUGCUGCUUUUUUUCUUACACAUGUGUUUUUCUUUUUUUGAAAACUUUGCUUUGGUAGGCCUUCUAUAUGGGGCCUGCCAGAGAUUAAACUCAACCAAAUUUUAUUUAAUGUCAACCGAUUAUUUAAUAGUCAAAACUUUCAACAACGGAUCUCUUGGUUCUCGCAUCGAUGAAGAACGCAGCGAAAUGCGAUAAGUAAUAUGAAUUGCAGAUAUUCGUGAAUCAUCGAAUCUUUGAACGCACAUUGCGCCCUUUGGUAUUCCAAAGGGCAUGCCUGUUUGAGCGUCAUUUCUCCCUCAAACCCUCGGGUUUGGUGUUGAGCGAUACGCUGGGUUUGCUUGAAAGAAAGGCGGAGUAUAAACUAAUGGAUAGGUUUUUUCCACUCAUUGGUACAAACUCCAAAACUUCUUCCAAAUUCGACCUCAAAUCAGGUAGGACUACCCGCUGAACUUAAGCAUAUCAAUAAGCGGAGGAAAAGAAACCAACAGGGAUUGCCUUAGUAGCGGCGAGUGAAGCGGCAAAAGCUCAAAUUUGAAAUCUGGCACUUUCAGUGUCCGAGUUGUAAUUUGAAGAAGGUAUCUUUGGGUCUGGCUCUUGUCUAUGUUUCUUGGAACAGAACGUCACAGAGGGUGAGAAUCCCGUGCGAUGAGAUGUCCCAGACCUAUGUAAAGUUCCUUCGAAGAGUCGAGUGGUUUGGGAAUGCAC